GUGCUCCUUUGGCAGCACAUAUACUAAAAUUGGAACAAUACAGAAAGAUUAGCAUUGGCCCCUGCACAAGAUGACACACAAAUUUGUGAAGCAUUCCAUAUUAAC
rnacentral:snRNA from 1 species